AUGGUAAUUUCAGUACGCAAUGUAUUCUACCCUCAAAAGCAAUAUGAUUUCAGUGAGGGGGACAUGCUCUCUAUCAGGAGGUGGUGGUGUGGACAGCUGUUGGAGACCUUUAUGCUUGAAAGCCCUGCAGAACUAGCUGGCUCCUUCUCACCCUCUCCAUCUCCCCAUCUCAGUCACACCUUCCAAUCACUAAGCAGUGAAAGCCCUGCAGGACUAGCUGGCACACCAAGCUCACCCUCUCCAUCUCCCCAUCUCAGCCACACGCUCCAAUCUGGCACAACAGAGGACAGGCCAUUCUUACCACCCGAAGUCCUUCAGCAAAUUGUACAAGAGACGCUGAGACUGGACAUGGCGAUGCUUGGCGUGUUCAACAGGGUUUCAAACACAUUCCGAGAACUAAUCAAGCCUCUCCAUCCUUCCAUAUCUAUAAAUGACAGUUUGGCAGGGGACAUUAAGCUUAAUAAAGACAAUCUCAUAUACAUAACGGUUAGAAAGAUUUACAACAAUGCAGGCUGUGACAGUGGCCUUGCGCUAUGCCUCAAAGGCUUCUCAAAAAAGAAGAAUUGGCCAAUCGCACCCCUGGUACUGAGGCACGUUGCAUAUGGCAGGUUUGUCAUAAAAGAUGUCUGCCUAGCAUAAUGUUCUUUUAUAACUCCUUUUUCGUUUUAUUUGGGACGUCUUUUUUUGCAAUCCCUUUCAUUUGUAAAUGUACAUACUACUGUAGUAAAUGUAAAUGGACUGCAUUUAUAUAGCGCUUUUCUAACCAUUGGCCACUCAAAGCGCUUUACAAUAUUGCCUCACAUUCACCAUUCAUGCACACAUUCACACACCAACGGCGGAGUCAACCAUGCAAGGCGACAGCCAGCUCGUCGGAAGCUAACAGUCAGGGUUAGGUGCCUUGCUCAAGGACACCUCGACACUCAGCUAGGAGGAGCCGGGGAUCGAACCAACAACCUUCAGGUUACCAGCCAACCCGCUCUACCUCCUGAGCUACUGCCGCCCAAAGUAAAUGUAAAUGUAUCUGCCCAGAAAUGCUGGUAUUUUAUUACUCUCUUUCUUUUUUGUUUUUGUGACAAAUGCUAUACGAUGUAUAACAUACAUUUGUGCUUACGAUGUAUGUUGUAAGGUUAAUUGUUACAGAGCAAUUACUGUAUUUUGUCUUUAUUGAAAACAUUCAGUGGGAAAAGUAAGUGAACACUUGGAGUCAAAUGGCCUACUGUUUGAGCCUUCAUAGUGUCUGGCAACUGGAUUUGAACUGCAUAAUGUCCCAAGUGUUAUUUUAAUCUAUUCAUUAUUUAAUUUCGGCAUAUUCUUAAACAACUAUAUCAA
rnacentral:lncRNA from 1 species